rnacentral:rRNA from 1 species
AUUGAACGCUGGCGGCAGGCCUAACACAUGCAAGUCGAACGAGUGGCGGACGGGUGAGUAAUGUCUGGGAAACUGCCCGAUGGAGGGGGAUAACUACUGGAAACGGUAGCUAAUACCGCAUACCAUCGGAUGUGCCCAGAUGGGAUUAGCUAGUAGGUGGGGUAACGGCUCACCUAGGCGACGAUCCCUAGCUGGUCUGAGAGGAUGACGAGACACACUGGAACUGAGACACGGUCCAGACUCCUACGGAAGGCAGCAGUGGGGAAUAUGGCACAAUGGGCGCAAGCCUGAUGCAGCCAUGCCGCGUGUGUGAAGAAGGCCUUCGGGUUGUAAAGUACUUUCAGCGGGGAGGCGUUACCCGCAGAAGAAGCACCGGCUAACUCCGUGCCAGCAGCCGCGGUAAUAC